rnacentral:RNase_P_RNA from 1 species
AGAGUCGAUUGGACAGUCGCUGCCUUCUUUUGUUCUGCAAAAGAGGGGGGAGGAAAGUCCGGGCUCCAUAGGGCAGAGUGCCAGGUAAUGCCUGGGGGGCGCGAGCCUACGGAAAGUGCCACAGAAAAUAACCGCCUAAGUGCUUCGGUACCGGUAAGGGUGAAAAGGUGCGGUAAGAGCGCACCGCACGUCUGGUAACAGUUCGUGGCUAGGUAAACCCCACUCGGAGCAAGACCAAAUAGGGUUCCAUAUGGCGCGGCCCGCGUUGGAACCGGGUAGGUUGCUAAAGGCGUCCAGUGAUGGCCGUCGUAGAGGAAUGACUGUCCUCGACAGAACCCGGCUUACAGAUCGACUCUCCAC